AGGAUGAGAGGCUGAAAAUUGGAAGCCAUUUUCAUUUCAUUGAUGCACUUCAAAGAGAGAACAGAGUGGCAGAAGUGAGACAGAGAGGGAGGAAAAAAAUGAUUACAAAUUAAGGUGGAUCUCUCUCUCUCUCAUACAACUUCCCUUUCUCUUGUUUAUUAUUCUAUAGUGCCGCCGCUACUCCCCGGCAGCGGAGACAAGUAUAGCAGAGGGUUAAGACACAGGGUUUUUCGUGCGGCACGGCACACCGAAAAACUUUCCCGGCAUCCCUUCUGCUCAACGAAACGAUGACGCAUCAUUCUGCUGACACAAGUCAUCUGAUUGCUGUGUCACGGCAUGGUUUUAGGCGAGUGGCAGCGCUCUGGCUACAGACGUAGUCUUUUUUUUUUCCCUCCCAGACGCACUGCGGCACAGCCAGACAACUAGAGUGGAGGCACAGGAGCUCGCAGCUGCAGUCUACUGGCUUGUUUUGGGGAGGCAGAAGAGCCGAGCACUUCCUCUCAAAACACCGCCGUUCUGCUUCUCUCCGCCGUUGAGGGAUCAUUUUCAAAGAAAGUCAAACAACUUGGAAUUACGCUCCGUCUCACAUGCCGACGGAAAAAUUUGGAGAAGCGAGCCCGGAUCAAACGUUUUUUUUUUUGUUUUGUUUUGUUUGGAGCUGCUGAUGCCAUUGUCUCUAUGUGCAGGACGGUGUUACCAGGCUGAAAAGUCGACGAGAAAGACUUGGAUUCCAGCGCGUCACCGGGCCGUCCCGAGACGUCCAGUCAGCCGGGCCCGCCUGCAUUCCCAUUCUCGGCGACCGGCCAAAGUGGCCGUUCUCCUCCAAGGAUGAAGUGGCUUUCGAUCUUAGACUCGUCCAGAAAGCAGAGCAGAGCCGAACAGAAACGGCAACGCAGCAGAUGAGCCGAGCUCAGCCAGACAGACAGACGUGUUGACCUAAAUCAGCCCCAGUCAUGUCUGGACGCAGCCAGAGCGAGAGAGGGAGAGAAAGCGAUCCUACAAAUACAUAAACUCGCACUAUGGGAUGGAGAUAAACGAAGGAGGCUGUGCGGGGAGGGGGAGACUGAGUUCUCUCUCUCUCUCUCCCUCUUUUUCGGCACUGCUUUAGUUCCUUCUAUUAGCUGGUGUUCAUAUUCAGCGCAUCUCCGUUGAUCUCCACCACUGCUGCAGAGCGAAACAUUGAGUCGUUGUCCCCCUCAACUCCCCUGUUUGCACUUUUGGGUUCAGUAAACGGCGGGAUAAAAGGCAUGCUGAAGUGAGUUGGUCAGACAGGCCUUGCCAAACCCACAGGCUGUUCUGCUGCUUUGCUACCGCUGUGGUGUUUUGAUGUGCGCUACUGCAGAUGCAGUUUUUGGGCGAUCACCAACAAGCUACCGUACAUGAGGAGACUCUGGUAAAGUAAGGGAUAUCUUUCAAGAAAGAAAAUCCACAAUUCAUGGGAGAAGACAAGGCUUCGGAAAGAGAAGGAAACCCAUGCUUUUUAUUUCUGUCCACAGAGAAGUAUGUGAAUGCAUAAAUUGAUUAUGUUUCUCCAAGAGAACAUAUUUCAAACCUGUAGCUUGCCAAGGUAAGACACAUUAUAUAAAGUAGUUAAACUCUAUAUGGUAGAAGCAAGAAACUGAGAAAAAGUAGCUAAAUUGGAGAUAGUUCACCCAACUAUUGUAUGUGUAGCUCAUGUGGUCGAAUGUGUUUGAACAACCACAAAAGGCCGCCUCAUCUCCACCUACUGACCUGAUGCGUAAACUUUAUUGGAAGCGCACCUAGCCAGAUGGGAUUUAAACUUUGUUGGCUAAAGACACAA